UACGGAAGGCAGCAGUGGGUAAUAUUGCACAAUGGGCGAAAGCCUGAUGCAGCUAUGCCGCGUGUAUGAAGAAGGCCUUAGGGUUGUAAAGUACUUUCAUCGGGGAGGAAAAACAAAACUAAUAAUUUUAUUUCUUGACGUUACCCGAAAAAGAAGCACCGGCUAACUCCGUGCCAGCAGCCGCGGUAAUACGGAGGGUGCUAGCGUUAAUCAGAAUUACUGGGCGUAAAGAGCACGUAGGUGGUUUUUUUAAGUCAGAUGUGAAAUCCCUGGGCUUAACCUAGGAACUGCAUUUUGAAACUGAAAUACUAGAGUAUCGUAGAGGGAGGUAGAAUUCUAGGUGUAGCGGUGAAAUGCGUAGAUAUCUGGAGGAAUACCUGUGGCGAAAGCGGCCUCCUAAACGAAUACUGACACUGAGGUGCGAAAGCGUGGGGAGCAAACAGGGAUUAGAUACC
rnacentral:rRNA from 1 species